CGCCCGCCUCAGCCUCCCAAAGUGCUGGGAUUACAGGCAUGAGCCACCGCGCCCAGCCUCUUUAUGCCCAUCUUUAUAAGUAUUUUAAAAAUUCUUCAUGUCCACCCAGGAACACCAAAAAAAUAAAUAAGUAAAAAUUAACCUCUACCACAUUACAAAGAAUUGAUAUUUUAAAAGCCCGUUACUUGAGGCUGGGGGCGGUGGCUUACGCCUGUAAUCCCAGCACUUUGGGAGGCCGAGGUGGGCGGAUCAUGGGGUCAGGAGAUUGAGACCAUCCUGGCUAACACAGUGAAACCCCAUCUCCACUGAAAAUGUAAAAAAUUAGCCGGGCGUGGUGGCGGGUGCCUGUAGUCCCAGCUACUCGGGAGGCUGAGGCAGGAGAAGGGCGUGAACCCGGGAGGCGGAGCUUGCAGUGAGCUGAGAUCAUGCCACUGCACUCCAGCCUGGGUGACAGAGCAAGACUCCACCUCAAAACAAAAAAACAAAAAACAAACCAAAAAAAAAAACCCCAUUACUUGAAAUAUUUUCCCCAUCCAAAUGUACUGUCUGAGAACGGUAAUUAUUCCCCACAAGAAAAAGCUCAAUAAAACAUUAAAAGGGAUUCAUUAAGAAAAGAAAAUAAUAUUUGAGUACGUGUUGUCUUACAGUAUACAUAAGACAGGGUUCUAUAUGUUGGACUCAGCUGCAAAUUAUACAGAAAGAUAUUUUAAAACAAGGUGCAAUGUAUAUUAUUUAUAAUGGUUGCCAUUAAGAAAUGACUGUUUAUAAGUGCUGACUGCAUUAGCAUGUAUAUUCAAAAAAGCCUAAUGUUCCAUUUAAAAAAAAUUUGAUCUAGCAAUCACACUCUUCAGCAUUUUUCCCACAGAAAUGAAAACUUAGGUCCACAGAAAAACCCGUACACAAAUGUUCAUAGCAACACUAUUUGUAAAAACAAAAUAACCCAAAUGUCCUUCAAUGGACAAAUGGCUAGGCUGUGGUAUACCUGCAUCAUGGAAUACUACUCAGCAGUAAAAAGUAACAAACUGCUGAUACUCAGGACUCAAUGCAUACUCAAUACUCAAUGGAUCUCAAGGGCAUUAUGCUGAGUGAAAAAAGCCAAUCUCAAAAGGUUACAGAUUGCAUGAUUCCAUUUAUAUAGUAUUCUCAAAAUGAGAUCAGAUUAGUGGCUACCAGCAGUUAGGGGCUUGCUAUAAAGGGGUAGCAAAGGGAAAGCCUUGGGGUGAUGAAUCGAUCCUGUAUUUUUUUUCUUCUUGAGACAGGGUCUCCCUCUGCUGCCCAGGCUACAGUACAAUGGCACCAUCAUCGCUCACUGCAGCCUCAACCUCCUGGGCUCAAGUGAUGCUCCCACCUCAGCCUCCUGAGUAGCUGGGACUACAGAUGCAUGCCAUCACACCUGGCUGAUUUUUGUACUUUUUGUAGAGAUGGGGUUUUGCCAUGUUGCCCAGACUGGUCUCAAACUCCUGGGCUCAAGCGAUCCUCCUGCCUCAGCCUCCCAAAAGGCUGGGAUUACAGGUGUGAACCACUAUGCCCAGCCAAUUCUGUAUCUUGAUUGUGGUAGUGGUAACACAAAUCUACACGUGAUCAAAUUGUACAGAACUAUGGACACGCUUCACCAAUGAGUGCAUGUAAAACAGGGAAAUCUGGGAAUAAGCUCUGUGGGUGACUCAGAUUUAUGGCAAUUUUCUGGGUUUUUGGGGAAAACUGAGUAGAGGGUAAACAGGACCUCUCCGUACUACUUUUUUAACUUCCUGUGAGUCUGUAAUCAUUUAAAAACAAAAAGUUUUUUAAAAGUUUGUGAAGAGGGUUGCCCAUUUAGGAGACAUAAACCAUUUUUCCUAACCUAAGUGAAGGUACAAGCACGUAAAGGGGAAAGAUGCAAAUGGAUGGCUAGAGAGGAGAAGACUGCCAGAAUAAUAGUGAGCAAGCAGUUAUCACGUCCCAGGUACUAGAGCCUAUCUCAUUUAACUCAACAGACAAUCCAAUGAGGUGGCUGCUGAUAAAUAUCCUUACUUUUCAGAUGAGGACACCGAAGGAUGGAGAAGACAAGAAAUUCAUUCAACUUCAGCUGGUAAAUAGCCAAGGUGUCAAAGUUAAGAAAAGUAAUACAAUUUCAAAGCAAAAAGGGUUAAGAAAAAGCACUACUGGCCAGGCAUGGUGGCUCACGCCUGUAAUCCUACCACUUUGGGGGGCCGAGGCGGGUGGAUCACCUUAGGUCAGGAGUUCAAGACCAGCCUGGCCAACAUGGUGAAACCCUGUCUCCACUAAAAAUACAAAAACCAGCUGAGUGUGGCAGCAGGUGCCUGUAAUCCCAGCUACUUGGGAGGCUGAGGCAGGAGAAUCACUUGAACCCGGGAGGCGGAGGCUGCGGUGAGCCGAGAUCGCGCCACUGCACUCCAGCUUGGGCAACAAGAGCGAAACUCCGUCUCAAAAAAAAUAAAUAAAUAAAGGAAAAAAUUUUGAAUGAAGAUAUAAAUGUAUAAUGACAUAGAAUAAUGGCCAAAAUAUAAUAAAUGAAAUUAGAAUUAAAAACAACAUGCCUAUUAUAAAUCUAUUUGUAUUUUAAAAACAUGUGUAUGUGUCUAUACACCAAAAAGUCAGCGAAACUAUACAUCAAAAUGUUAACCUCUGGGUGGUAGAACUACUAGUCAUUUUCACUGCUCUCUUCUUUAUACCUUUCUGUAUUACCUGAUUUUCUAUUACCACUAAGCACUGAUUGCUCUUAACACUGAACCUCAUUACUUCUACAACCAGGAACAAAGAUAUGUUAUUUUGGAAAAGGUGUAUACCACAGGAUAUUGAUAGAGUACUCCUUAGCUCAAAAGAAUGUGCAUUUAUAUGACAGGGCGCGGUGGCUCACACCUGUAAUCCCAGAACUUUGGGAGGCCGAGGCAGGCAGAUCACGAGGUCAGGAGAUCGAGACCAUCCUGGCUAACACGGUGAAACCCCGUCUCUACUAAAAGUACAAAAAAGUUAGCCGGGCGUAGUGGUGGGCACCUUUAGUCCCAGCUACGCAGGAGGCUGAGGCAGGACAAUGGCGUGAACCCGGGAAGGAGAACUUGCAUUGAGCAGAGAUAAUGCCACUGCACUCCAGCCUGGGCGACAAAGCGAGACUCCAUCUCAAAAAAAAAAAGAAAAGAAAAAAGAAUAUGCAUUUAUAAAACAGCCAAAUUUUACUUUUUCAAGGGGAAAUAUUUGAAAAGGCAGUACAGAAAAGUGGUUGAAAGCACAGGAUUUAAUCAGACUUAGAUUAAAAUCCUGGCUUAAUCAUUUACUUUCUGCACGAUCUUGGGUAAUUCCAUCAUAUCCUGCCUCAAUGUCCUAUUUUAUUUUUUUAAUUUUUUUUGAGAUGGAGUUUCGCUCAUUGCCCAGGCUGGAGUGCAGUGGUGCGAUCUUGGCUUACCAUAACCUCUGCCUCCUGGGUUCAAGCGAUUCUCCUGCCUCAGCCUCCCGAGUAGCCAGGAUUAUAGGCAUGCGCCACCAUGCCCGACUAAUUUUUGUAUUUUUAGUAGAAACGGGGUUUCUCCAUGUUGGUCAGGCUGGUCUCGAACUCCUGAUCUCGGGUGAUCCCCCCGCCUCAGCCUCCCAAAGUGCUGGGAUUACAGGCAUGAGCCACCG
rnacentral:lncRNA from 1 species